UACGAAGGGGGGCUAGCGUUGUUCGGAAUUACUGGGCGUAAAGCGCGCGCAGGCGGUCUUCCAAGUCAGUGGUGAAAGCCCGGAGCUCAACUCCGGAACUGCCAUUGAAACUGUAAGACUUGAGGAUGAGAGAGGUGAGUGGAAUUCCCAGUGUAGAGGUGAAAUUCGUAGAUAUUGGGAAGAACACCGGUGGCGAAGGCGGCUCACUGGCUCAUAUCUGACGCUCAGGCGCGACAGCGUGGGGGAUCAAACAGG
rnacentral:rRNA from 1 species